rnacentral:lncRNA from 1 species
CUUGGGUAUCUGCUUACGCCAUAUAUUUUUGGUUGGAGAUGUGCCUUGGAGCCCUAGCACACGACAGAUUCACACCAUGGUCACGGCCAGGAUCAGGAGCAUGGAAUCUUUGGGAGAUCUUCGCCUCCCUUCUGCAGAUGUCCUGUCAAGCAACUUUUCAAAAGAGGAAAAGAGAAAGGUGACAAAAUUGGUAAAACAUAAAAGCCUCUUGGAUCCUGCUUAUGGAAUAUCUCUUCCUGCUGGCUGCAAAAGACUUGGACCAGGUCAAACCAUAGACCCUCAAAAGUCCAGAGUAUUGGUCCCUGCACGAAGCGUCUAUACCUUGAGCUGCAGUAUGGUCAUGCUUGAAUUGUUCUGAUACACAAUGUAGAAGAUGGAGUCGCUCUGUAGGAUAGGCAGUGUAUUGUGCAUCUUCCAGUGAAGACCUG